rnacentral:rRNA from 1 species
GACGAACGCUGGCGGCGUGCCUAAUACAUGCAAGUCGAACGCAGUGGGGACGGGUGAGUAACACGUGGGUAACCUCCCAUCAGAGGGGAUAACACUUGGAAACAGGUGCUAAACCGAUACUGAUGGAUGGACCCGCGGUGCAUUAGCUAGUUGGUGAGGUAACGGCUCACCAAGGCCACGAUGCAUAGCCGACCUGAGAGGGGGAUCGGCCACCCUGGGACGGAGACACGGCCCAUACUCCUACGGGAGGCAGCAGUAGGGAAUCUUCGGCAAUGGGCGCAAGCCUGAUGCAGCCAUGCCGCGUGUGUGAAGAAGGCCUUCGGGUUGUAAAGUACUUUCAGCGGGGAGGCGUUACCCGCACAUAAAGCCCCGGCUAACUCCGUGCCAGCAGCCGCGGUAAUUC